rnacentral:rRNA from 1 species
UGCCGGCGACCGGCGGACGGGUGCGUAACGCGUAUGUAACCUACCUUUUGACAGGGGGAUAACAUCGAGAAAUUGGUACUAAUACCCCAUAACAUCACCGGAGGCAUCUUCGGUGGUUGAAAACUCAGGUGGUCAGAGAUGGACAUGCGUUGUAUUAGCUAGUUGGUGAGGUAACGGCUCACCAAGGCGACGAUACAUAGGGGGACUGAGAGGUCAACCCCCCACAUUGGUACUGAGACACGGACCAAACUCCUACGGAAGGCAGCAG